ensembl:snRNA U6 U6 spliceosomal RNA
GUGCUCGUUUUGGCAGCACAUAUACUAAAAUUGGAAUGAUACGGAGCAGAUCAGUAUGGCUCCUGCACAAGGAUGAUACACAGAUUCUUAAACUGUUCCAUAUUUUU